UGUUGCUGCCUAUGGUGACUGUGCUAGAACUGAAACUUCUCAGGAAGCCAGGCUGUUAAAAUUGUGAUGCCCUGUACUCAACAAUACCAUGGAUUAUCUAGUCCAAAGUGGAAAGCAAGCCCUUACGGAAGCAGUCUGUAUCUUUCAUAUUCAGAAUUCCUAUUAGGAAACUCGGGCACUCAGAAGAAGAGGCAAGAAAGAACAAAGAGGAUCAACCUGCACAAAACCUUCAAAGCCUUCGACAUUACCUGAAGGCCUGUGGAACGAACGCUGCUUUGGGGAAAAUUCAAUCCAAUUCAGGUAAGUGGCUCAGGGAUAGCUUGCUUGAGAAUUCUUUUCCCCUAAGAAGUAAUGCCAGUGAGAAGUUAUUUGCUCAUUUAUUGUUACAGCAUUCUGACAAGGUAGAAAAGAAUGAAGGGAGACAUGACCUGCCUUCCAGGAGUCUCAUGAGAAAGAUGGCACAGAUGCAGAUAAAAACAAGAUGAAUACACACACAGGUAAAUAUUUACCAGUGGUAUAAAAGCAUGGAUUGUGGAAAUUGAAUGACCUCAGUUUGCAGC
rnacentral:lncRNA from 1 species